rnacentral:rRNA from 1 species
UACGUAGGUGGCAAGCGUUGUCCGGAUUUACUGGGCGUAAAGAGCGCGCAGGCGGUCGUUCAAGUCGCGUGUGAAAGCCCCCGGCUCAACUGGGGAGGGUCACGCGAUACUGAUCGACUGGAAGGCAGGAGAGGGUAGUGGAAUUCCCGGUGUAGUGGUGAAAUGCGUAGAUAUCGGGAGGAACACCAGUGGCGAAGGCGACUACCUGGCCUGUUCUUGACGCUGAGGCGCGAAAGCGUGGGGAGCAAACGGGG